rnacentral:rRNA from 1 species
GACGAACGCUGGCGGCGUGCCUAAUACAUGCAAGUCGAACGCUUCUUUCCUCCCGAGUGCUUGCACUCAAUUGGAAAGAGGAGUGGCGGACGGGUGAGUAACACUUGGGUAACCUACCCAUCAGAGGGGGAUAACACUUGGAAACAGGUGCUAAUACCGCAUAACAGUUUAUGCCGCAUGGCAUAAGAGUGAAAGGCGCUUUCGGGUGUCGCUGAUGGAUGGACCCGCGGUGCAUUAGCUAGUUGGUGAGGUAACGGCUCACCAAGGCCACGAUGCAUAGCCGACCUGAGAGGGUGAUCGGCCACACUGGGACUGAGACACGGCCCAGACUCCUACGGGAGGCAGCAGUAGGGAAUCUUCGGCAAUGGACGAAAGUCUGACCGAGCAACGCCGCGUGAGUGAAGAAGGUGUUCGGAUCGUAAAACUCUGUUGUUAGAGAAGAACAAGGACGUUAGUAACUGAACGUCCCCUGACGGUAUCUAACCAGAAAGCCACGGCUAACUACGUG